rnacentral:rRNA from 1 species
UAGUGGCGGACGGGUGAGUAACGCGUGGGUAACCUGCCUUAUACAGGGGGAUAACAGUCAGAAAUGGCUGCUAAUACCGCAUAAGCGCACAGAGCUGCAUGGCUCAGUGUGAAAAACUCCGGUGGUAUAAGAUGGACCCGCGUCCGAUUAGCUAGUUGGUGAGGUAAUGGCCCACCAAGGCGACGAUCGGUAGCCGGACUGAGAGGUUGAACGGCCACAUUGGGACUGAGACACGGCCCAGACUCCUACGGGAGGCAGCAGUGGGGAAUAUUGCACAAUGGGGGAAACCCUGAUGCAGCGACGCCGCGUGGAGGAAGAAGGUCUUCGGAUUGUAAACUCCUGUUGUUGGGGAAGAUAAUGACGGUACCCAACAAGGAAGUGACGGCUAACUACGUGCCAGCAGCCGCGGUAAAACGUAGGUCACAAGCGUUGUCCGGAAUUACUGGGUGUAAAGGGAGCGCAGGCGGGAAGACAAGUUGGAAGUGAAAUCUAUGGGCUCAACCCAUAAACUGCUUUCAAAACUGUUUUUCUUGAGUAGUGCAGAGGUAGGCGGAAUUCCCGGUGUAGCGGUGGAAUGCGUAGAUAUCGGGAGGAACACCAGUGGCGAAGGCGGCCUACUGGGCACCAACUGACGCUGAGGCACGAAAGUGUGGGUAGCAAACAGGAUUAGAUACCCUGGUAGUCCACACUGUAAACGAUGAUUACUAGGUGUAGGGGGUCUAACCCCCUCCGUGCCGGAGUUAACACAAUAAGUAAUCCACCUGGGGAGUACGACCGCAAGGUUGAAACUCAAAGGAAUUGACGGGGGCCCGCACAAGCAGUGGAGUAUGUGGUUUAAUUCGAAGCAACGCGAAGAACCUUACCAGGUCUUGACAUCCGAUGCAUAGUGCAGAGAUGCAUGAAGUCCUUCGGGACAUCGAGACAGGUGGUGCAUGGUUGUCGUCAGCUCGUGUCGUGAGAUGUUGGGUUAAGUCCCGCAACGAGCGCAACCCUUAUUGCCAGUUACUACGAAAGAGGACUCUGGCGAGACUGCCGUUGACAAAACGGAGGAAGGUGGGGAUGACGUCAAAUCAUCAUGCCCCUUAUGAUUUGGGCUACACACGUGCUACAAUGGCGUAAACAAAGGGAAGCGAGAUUGUGAGAUGGAGCAAAUCCCAAAAAUAACGUCCCAGUUCGGACUGUAGUCUGCAACCCGACUACACGAAGCUGGAAUCGCUAGUAAUCGCGGAUCAGAAUGUCGCGGUGAAUACGUUCCCGGGUCUUGCACACACCGCCCGUCA